UAAAAAAUAAAAAAUUUCAAAAGUGUGACCAUAUCUGCAAUUCGUUUGAGUCAUUCUUUAUGUAUACAGUACAGAAAAUUAGGAAUAAAGCUCUGGCUGUGAAACCAAAAGGUAGUAGGGGGAUCAGCUACAUACUCAGAGUAAGGAAAACGUGAGGUAUGGGCAACGGCAGUGGCGUCAUCGCAUUCAUUGGCAUCUUAGUAAUCAUCGCGUUUAAGUCAUGAUAGUGAGUUUAAGAAUAUGUGUAUAAUAUAACUUACACAAGAUUUCAGCAAUAUUAGUGGUAUUGGUUUUUUCGUGAUAAUCUUACAUUCCAUUAUUAUUAAGAUUCAAAUUGAGGCUGAAGUCUAAUCCGAAUGUGUUUAAAAGCAGACAAUAUAAGUGAAAUGUAUGUGAUACUAUUUCAUAGUUCUAUGAUCAUUUGAUUCUUCAAGAAUAUUUAUAAAAUAAACGCGUAUAAGCUAAUAAGUUUAUAAAUGUUUUCUAAAUUAUUUUUAUGAUAAUUUAAAAUGUUUAUAAAUAUUGAACGUGAAAUAAUAGUGUAGUAAAAUAGCUAUAAAUUUGAUUAGAAAACAAUAUUUCUAUAUUUUUCCAAUAUACACUUAAUUAUUGAGAAAAUAUUUAUUCUCAACGAAAAAAAUGUUAUACUCGCGAUGGUUAACUAUUUAUCCUACUAAGCAAAGACUUAACGAUUUUGGCUUCAUUGUUGUCGGUACCCUCACUCUUCUUGUCUUACUCAGCAACAGAACUUUAGGCAAUGAAAUUCAAAUACGACAACUACAUUUACGACAUGAAGAUGGAACGACAUAUUCAAAACCAUUCAGUUUUAAUAAUCAUGUAGUAAUGACUAAUCGUUAUAAUGAUGACAAUCACAAUCAUAAACCUGUAUUUUCGGAUUGUCCAAAAUAUGCACCUACUGUAAAAGAAGAUGAACCAUCAGGAACUAUAGUGAUCACUGUACGUGCUGAAGACCGUGAUCCACUUGAUGAAGGAGGUACCAUCUCCUAUAGUUUUGUUACUGCCCCUGGAGAAAAACUCAAAUUCGAAAUCAAUAAUGUGACUGGAUUGAUAAAAACUACACAAGUGUUAGAUCGAGAUGAACCAGCUCGUGAGAAAGAAGCGUAUUUGACAGUGCUGGCAACUGAUAACGGUCGACCUCAACUUGAUGAUGUCUGUACGUUUAAAGUGACCAUUGAAGAUGUCAAUGACAAUUCACCAGUCUUUGAUAAAGUGGUUUACACUGAAUCAGUUCCUCAGGAUCUUCCUGUAAAGCAUGAAGUUAUGAGAGUAUCAGCAACAGAUAUUGAUGAUGGAAAUAAUUCAGUUGUACAAUAUAGUUUAUCUUCGAUACGUCCAGAAGAUGCUAAUUAUUUUAAAAUCGAUGAAAAAACUGGGGUUAUCAACCUUAAUCAAAGAAUUGACCGGGAGCCAGAAUACAAAUUUCGUCUGAUUGCGAGAGCUCAAGAUCUUGGCAAACCUGAGCCAAAAGCUAGUGAAAUUGAAUUGGAAAUUCGAGUUAUUGAAUCGAAUAAAAAAUCUCCAACGUUUUUGCCGUUAAAAUCAUUCGAACCAAUUGAAAUAAAAGAAAACUUUAGUGAUUUCGACGCGACAAUUAUUAGACUUGAAGCAAUAUCUAACAUUGAUGAUAACCCCGAUUUAUUAUUUGAGCUUGUUACUGGUGGGACAGAACAAACGAAUAAAGGAAAUACCUUUAGGCUAGAAUCAGAAAAGAAUACAGCUGAUAUUAAAUUAUCACAACAUUUAGAUUAUGAAAGUAUCACCGAAUAUACUCUUAUCGUUCGUGUUCAAAAUAAAUAUAAUUUGGCUGCCGAAACAAUAGUUAAUAUUCGAGUAUUAGAUGUGAACGAUAACAUACCGGUAUUUCGAGAAAUGAAGAAAGGUAGUGUAUUGGAAAAUGAACCGCCAGGAGUUCCAGUAAUGCAAGUUCGUGCGAUUGAUGCUGAUGGCACUUUAGCACAUAAUCAAGUUACGUAUGAGUUAGAUAAUUUUAAAGAUUUAUUUACUAUUGAUAAAUAUACUGGUAAUAUUACUACAUUAACUAUUUUUGACCGAGAAGCUGAAGAUACGUAUAAUGUGAAAGUCAUUGCAAUAGACAGCUCUCCUAGUGCUUUGUUUAAAACAGGAGAACACAAUAAAGGGCAACAAGACUUUCGUAUUGAAAUAGCCGAUAAAAAUGAUAAUCCACCACAUUUUAAUAGAUCAGUUUAUACUGCCAACUCAAUACUUGAAAAUGCUAACAUUAAUGCACUUGUUACUGAAGUUAAAGCCCAUGACAUGGAUACUGCUAGCCCUGUAACGUAUAGCAUUAUUUCAGGCAACACCGAUGAUAGCUUCUAUAUUGAAGGCACGACGGGAAAAAUUCGUAUUAAAAGGCCUUUAGAUUAUGAAAAAAUAACUGAAUAUAAUUUAACUGUUCGAGCUUUUGAUGGAGUCUAUGAUGAUAACGCAACAGUGAAAAUUUUUAUAGAGAACGUUAACGAUAAUCCACCCGUUUUUGAAGACUUCGACAAAAAUCCAACUAUAGAAGAAGAAAAAUUAAUAAAUGGAUGUAUAACAACUGUUGAGGCAUAUGAUCCAGACGUUAAAGAUAGAAGUGCUGAUCAACAUAUUGCAUAUUUUAUUGUAAAAGAAGAUCAACAACCACUCAUUAACAUUGAUAAAACAGGAUGCAUUACACUGAAAAAACCCCUUGAUAGAGAUCCUCCUAAUGGCUAUCCAAUGUGGACAGUGAUUGUUAUGGCUAGAGAUGACGAUGGAUCCCCAACUGCAUUACGUGAAUUGGUUAUGGUCAAUAUAACAUUGAUUGACAUUAACGAUAAUGCGCCAUUUUUAGAUAUGAUUCAACCCGUUGUUUGGCAAGAAGGAUUACGGCCCGGUAAUAUAACAAAACUUAAAGCACGAGAUUGGGACUCAGAUGAAAAUGGACCACCAUUUAAAUUCAGUAUCGAUGAAAAUUCGGCUGACGAUAUUAUCUUGAGUAGAUUUUCAAUAAGAGGCGAUGAUCUUCGUGCAGAAGUUACAUUUGAUCGUGAAGAAUAUAAACAAUAUGAAAUUCCAAUAUUAAUAACAGAUAACGGUAAAAAUAAAGUAAUGACAGGAACUUCAACACUUACUAUUAUAAUUGGUGAUAUAAACGAUAACGAAAUGAAAGAUGGCUCCAGUUCUAUAUUUGUAUACAAUUAUCAAGGAACAGCACCUGAUACAGAAAUCGGAAGAGUUUAUGUUGACGAUCUCGAUGAUUGGGACUUACAGGAUAAACAUUUUUCAUGGUUAGAUAAUGAUAAUAAUGAUAAUAUACAUAAUUUUACCACUGUGAACAAUGGAGUUAUUUCAUAUACAAGAUUCUCACUCAAUUUAGAUAAUGGAAUGAUAACUAUGCUUUCUGGUCAAUGGAAUGAUGCUUCAUAUUUACUUCGAUUCAAGGUAACGGAAGAAUCUAAAGCUAUUAAACGUCACAGUGUAAAUGCUUAUGUGAAUGUCACCGUAAAAAAUAUACCCGAAGAAGCAGUUAUGAAGUCUGGGUCGGUACGUUUUCAUGGAAUAAGUGCUGAAGAAUUCAUUGCACCAAACCGUAAAAAUGCAAGCAUAAGUAAAAAAGACAUGUUUCACGAACGAUUAUCAUCGAUUCUUAAUUUAACUAUAGAAAAUAUUGAUGUCUUUACUGUUUUACACUCGCCACAUUACAAUAAUAAAAGUUUACUAGAUGUUAGAUUUUCUGCACAUGGAAGUCCAUAUUAUGCAGCUGAAAGAUUAAAUUCCAUAGUUGCCAUAUAUUCAAAAGAGAUAGAACACGAUUUAAACGUCAGUAUAUCAUUAAUAAAUAUUGAUGAAUGUGUUUAUGAGAGACGAUUUUGUAAUAAUUCUUGUCGAAGCUAUUUAAAUGUAACACCGAAACCUUACUCUGUUUACACAAAUAUUACAUCAUUCGUUGGUGUAAGAGCAGUUGUUGACCCACAGUGCACUUGUCAUGUUGCUGAACCAAUAACGUGCCUUAACGGUGGAACGCCAUUAAUUACUGAAACGGGUGAAGGAGAUCGAUGUGAAUGCCCUCCUGGUUUAGAUGGUCCACGAUGUGAAUUAUUGGAUAUAGGGUUUCAAGGUGAUGGUUGGGCAAUUUUAAAAUCGGUCAAUCAAGCAUGUGAUGAUUCUCAUCUUGGUUUAGAGUUAAAAUCUUAUUUAGACAAUGGAUUAGUAUUUUACAUUGGGCCUAUGAGUUAUGGAAACAAUAAUGAAUCAAACUUUCAGGAUUUUAUGUCACUUGAAAUUCAACAUGGAUACGCUGUUUUAUAUGUUGAUUAUGGGUCUGGAACUGUAAAACUUGACCAAAAACAAACAAAAUUAAACGAUGGUAAAGAGCAUCGAAUUGAUAUCUAUUGGACAAAAACUACUAUUGAAAUGAAAGUUGAUAACUGUGGUAAGUCAGCAUGUAUGAGUUUAGUUGGACCAAUUGGGCCUAAUGAAUUUUUAAAUGUCAAUAGCCCAUUACAAAUUGGUGGUACAAUGCUGAAAGACUUUAAUGAUUUAUAUCAUUAUUUUAGUUGGAAUUACAAACCUAUUAAUAGAGGUUUUGUUGGAUGUAUUCGAAAUUUAACAAUAAAUGGAAAUACUUAUGAUUUUAGAACUUUAGCGUUAAGUAAAAAUGCUUAUCCAGCAUGCAGUCACAGUAUGUCAAAAGCCGUUUCGUUUGGAAUUGAUACCAAUUUUCUUGUUGCUAUCCUAGUGUGCGUAGCAAUAUUAUUAAUUCUUCUUCUAGCUGUUGUUGUUCAUCGACGGAAGCGAGAUGAUCUAUAUAAAGAUAUGGAUGAUAUAAGGGAAAAUAUAAUUAAUUACGAAGAUGAAGGAGGUGGUGAAGUUGAUACUGGAUACGAUUUAAAUGUUUUAAGACAUAUAUAUGACAAUACGCCUACAACAGGAUUUGAUUCAAAAGUUGGUUCAUCUAUAAAUCCAAAUAAUAAUAGUAAAAUUUCUGAAGAAAUGGCAGUUCCGGAUAUUUGUGGAUUUCUUGAUAAUAAAAAACAAAAUUGUGAUAAAGAUCCUGACACUACACCGUAUGAUGAUGUUCGUCAUUAUGCAUAUGAAGGUGAAGGCAAUUCUGAUGGUUCUUUAUCAUCAUUGGCAUCAUGCACUGAUGAUGGUGACUUAAAAUUCAAUUAUUUAUCUAAUUUUGGUCCAAGAUUCCGGAAAUUGGCAGAUAUGUAUGGAGAAGAAUCAAGUAAUGACGAAGAUGAUGAUAAUAAUGAUAGUCAUGAUGAUGAUCUCCGUCAUCAUCAUUAUCAAAGUCGAGAUAAUAAUAAUGAUGUCCAAGAUGAUAAUAAUGACAAAGAAACUGAAAAUGAUGGUGUAGAUAAUAAUAUGAGUGAUGGUAAUAUUAAUCGUCAUCGUCGUCAUCGGUCUUAUCGACAUUCUCAACGUGAAGAUAGAGAAAGUGAAAGUUGGUGUUAAUUCAAAUUACAUUGGAAACAAAUGAAUGCUUUUUUUAACCAAUUUACUCGUUUUAUUUAAUUUAAGUGAAUAUAGGUUUCUUUGAAGGAUUAAAAGUAUAUUUAUAGAUGAAUAUUAAUCAUUUCGGCUACAUAAUAAUGAUGUAAACAGUUGUGCAUGUACUUAAAACUCAUACUUACUUUUUCAUUAUACUUGAUUUUUUUUGCUUUUCAGUUAAUCGUAAUAAUGAUUUUGUUGAAAAAGUAAAUUACAAUAUAAUCAUUUCAAUUUUAUUUUUUUGGCUCAGACAAUUUUUUUUGUAUUAUUUAUUUUUUCGCCAAACGCACCAAAGAUUCAUUUGUGUGCAUGCGCAAAUAUAAAAUUUGAUUGGAAAAUUAGAAAAAUUAUUGUUAUAAUGAUUACAGUACAUAAUUUUCAUAAUAGUAGUAUUAUUACUAUGUUUCUCUUAACUGAUAGUAAGCAUUUUGAUAACUGGAAUUAUUUUAGUAAUCAUAUUAUGAACAUAAAUUUACUUUUUAUAAAGUUUAUAUAAAAAAAUUGUUUUGAAUUUUCACUAAAUACAUACCAAAUUUUAUAGGAAAUUAUACUUUUUAUUGAUACUAUUACUGAAUUUACUUUUAGAAGACUGAAUUUAAAGUUACUUUCCACAUCAAAUUUUGUUCUUUUUUUUUUUUUCUUCUUUCUUACAAAUAGGACAUAUUAAUAUUGUUUAUAAAACUUUUUUUACUAUUUUAUACAUAAUUUUUUAUUAUAAAUAUUUUAUAGGAAAUUUGAAAGCAUCGAUACAUGUGUAAAAUUUACUUAGGUACAAGUAUGUAAGUAAAUUUUUAAUUUAAGGUAUUAUUGUUAUUGGGUACUGAAACAAAUGUAUUUUUAAACAGAUAUUUCGUAAUUGAUCCAUAAAAAUGAAGCUCGAUGAAUGCAUGCAUUACUGGAAAAUAAAAUGAAAGUUUUUUUUAUAAAUAAGUAGAAUGACGAAUAUGGCUCAUAGAUAGAAAAAUAAUUAAUUUUAGCUUCUAUUGUGAAAAUACUUUUAAUAACAAAAUAUUUUUGUAGGAAUCAUGUAUAUAAUAAUUCUUUAAAUAAAUAUAACUAUUAAAUAAAUUUCAACAUCAGUGGUAAUUGUAUUUCUCAAAUUAAUUUUCAAUAUAAUGUUGUGAUAAAAAUAGUCAAUCUUAAAAGAAACCUAUUACAUGCACAUGGGAGUAUUGACAAUAGCUAAUUGAUGUCUACACGUAUAAAAAUCUUUGUCUAGUUUAUUCUAAAUAGUAAGUCAGCAUAUGAGAUUCAAUUAUCUAUAUUUCUUGUAUAUGUGCGAAUUUGAAGUUUCAAAAAUAUAAAUUAUUAGACAUCAUUAGAAGAAAUAAGAUUAUUUAACGAAAAUAUAAUUUGUGAAAAAUUACUAAGAAAAAACCUUAAACUUUAAUAAUGUAAGUUAAUUCUAUUUUUUUGAGUUAGAAUCCAAAAUCUGAUUUAUAAAAAAAAUAUUAUAGGCUAAAAAGAAAAAAUUUAAUGAAUUAUACCAUGUUAUUGGCAAUAUUCAUGUUGCAAUUGAUUUUAUUACCAUUAUUCUUUAAAAAUACGGUCAAUGCACAAUUAAACUUCUCUACUGGUUGGGGAAAAAGAACUUUCGUAAUGAAAAAUAAUCAAACAUUGUGGUUUUUCCUACCACAAAGCAAUUGCAGUGACAAAUACAUGAAGAAUAAAAUAUUUAUCAUUGUAAAAACUAUAUUAGAAUCAUGUAAUUUAAUGAAGAUUCAUUAAACCUUCAAUUCAACGUAGAAAUAAGUUUUAAAAAUUAAGUCAUAUCAACUAGGGUACUAAUG
rnacentral:misc_RNA from 1 species